UCAACAGUCAUCACAACACUGUUUAUUUUAAUUACAAAAGGAAGGCUGUAUAAACAAUAACCUGGAAGAAACUAUAUUAUUUGUGGACAGGUUGUUUCUAGAUUAUAUGACUAACCACAUACAAAAGGAUAGUAGCCUUUAUUACUGCAGCAGCACAUGACUAAACAUAAUGACUUAUAUGUGCAAGGAAAAAGGGAAGGUCCAGAAAUUCAGUCAUUAUCCAGGAAAACAGCAGAUUUGCUCGUCGGUCCAAAAGCAAAAGGUGGCGCUGUUGAGCAAAAAAAGUGAAUGCAGAGAAAAGUUGCUCAGUUGUGAAUCACCAGAACUCAUCAACAUGACUUUCUUAUUUCUGUGAAUUUGUUGUGGGUGUUACUCCACAGCUAACCCAGAUCAACAGAUCCUCCGUCCACACAGUGUUUUCACUUCCUGCCUGAGCUAAAGUCUACACUAUUUUAUCCUUUGACUGUUUCUAACUAAUCUACAUAACUACACUGUGACAGGUCAGAUGACGAUGUACGAAAAUUAACAUUUGUGAUAAUUCAACAUUUUAGAGACUGUUCAGGAGUCAACAUUACAGAAUGGUUUUGUUUGUGAGUCUUUCACACCAGACCAUUUAUUUAUAUUAAUUAUAUUACAAAAGUUGAUUUUAUAAUUAAUAAUCAGCAUUUACAUCAACUUGUAUGCUUUUCCACAUGAAAGACUAAGUUCAGCGCGGUUUCCCUGAAAUUACAGCAGGCCGUUCUCACUCCCGAGGCUUAACAUCCCGACGAUUUGGAGAACGAUUCGCUGUGUUUACAGAAAGUCAGUAAAGGUCAACACUGCCACCUGCUGGCUAACCUGCAAAUUAUCGCAUACAUCUGUACAUAAAAUGUAAAAGCACAGCUUUAAAGUCCAUCACUGGUCAUUUUGGAAAUUGAAUCAACAAACUUCUUUAUUUUUUUGACUGCACUUUCAACUGGUGUCAAUAUCCUACCAUAUCUAUCUAUCUAUCUAUCUAUCUAUCUAUCUAUCUAUCCAUCGAUCUAUCUAUCUAUCUAUCUAUCUAUCUAUCUAUCUAGAUAGAUAGAUUAUAUACACACACACUUAUAAUUCAAAUUAGUUUUUACUGUGCUGUUUAAAACCUAAAUCUAAUGAUGGAACUAUGUCAACUAUAUCCCCGUCAACAUCAGCAAGUUUAUUUAUUUGAUGAUUUAAAAAGAAUCACAAAAUGAUCAGUUCAAUAAAAUUAAAAUCAGAAAUGAUUCAUGAGAUUUUCCAACAAAGCAGACGCCUCCGAGAAAUGAAACUGCAAACAGAAAAAAUACAUUUUUAACAAAAUCAUGAGCAGUUUAGCCAAGCAUAAAGCCUCAAUGUGGGUGGAAGCGGCAAAAUCCCGCAUGAAGUCUAAACUUUACCAAGUAAAAACAAAAAUAUAAAAAACAACAAAAAAACCUUUGGUUAUAUAUGAAGGUCUUUCCAGCACACACCAUGUCAUUUCUGGUCUUUGGUUGCUAAAGUGUAACG
ensembl:lncRNA